GUGAGGAAUAUUGCCCAAUGGAGGCAACUCUGACGCAGCCAUGCCGCGUGCAGGAAGAAGGCGCUACGCGUUGUAAACUGCUUUUAACCGGGAAGAAACCCCAGGACGUGUCCUGGGUUGACGGUACCGGAGGAAUAAGCACCGGCUAACUUCGUGCCAGCAGCCGCGGUAAUACGAAGGGUGCAAGCGUUAUCCGGAUUCAUUGGGUUUAAAGGGUUCGUAGGCGGAGCGUUAAGUCAGUGGUGAAAUCCUGCAGCUUAACUGUAGACUUGCCAUUGAUACUGGCGCGCUUGAGUGCUGUUGAAGUGGGCGGAAUGUGCCGUGUAGCGGUGAAAUGCUUAGAUAUGGCACAGAACACCAAUUGCGAAGGCAGCUCACUAAGGCGAUACUGACGCUGAGGCACGAAAGCGUGGGGAUCGAACAGGAUUAGAAACCCUUGUAGUCC
rnacentral:rRNA from 1 species